UACGGGGGGGGCAAGCGUUGUUCGGAAUUACUGGGCGUAAAGGGCUCGUAGGCGGCCAACUAAGUCAGACGUGAAAUCCCUCGGCUUAACCGGGGAACUGCGUCUGAUACUGGAUGGCUGGAGUUUGGGAGAGGGAUGCGGAAUUCCAGGUGUAGCGGUGAAAUGCGUAGAUAUCUGGAGGAACACCGGUGGCGAAGGCGGCAUCCUGGACCGGCAUUGACGCUGAGGCGCGAAAGCUAGGGGAGCAAACGGG
rnacentral:rRNA from 1 species